AUUGAACGCUGGCGGCAGGCCUAACACAUGCAAGUCGAGCGAGCGGCGCACGGGUGAAUAAUGUAGGGGGAAUGCCCGAUAGAGGGGGAUAACCACUGGAAACGAUGGCGAAUACCGCAUACUAGAGGAUAACCCAUAUGGUAUGAGCUUGUAGGUGGGGUAACGGCUCACCGAGGCGACGAUCCCUAGCUGGUCUGAGAGGAUGAACAGCCACACUGGGACUGAGACACGGCCCAGACUCCUACGGAGGCAGCAGUGGGGAAUAUUGCACAAUGGGCGCAAGCCUGACGCAGCCAUGCCGCGUGAAUGAAGAAGGCCUUAGGGUUGUAAAGUUCUUUCAGUAGCGAGGCGUUAACUACAGAAGAAGCACCGGCUAACUCUGUGCCAGCAGCCGCGGUAAUAC
rnacentral:rRNA from 1 species